rnacentral:rRNA from 1 species
UGGCAAACGGGUGAGUAACACGUAGGAAUCUACCUUACAGUACGGAAUAGCAGUUGGAAACGACUGGUAAUACCGUAUGCCCUCGCAAGAGGAAAGAUUUAUCGCUGUAAGAUGAGCCUGCGCUAGAUUAGGUAGUUGGUGGGGUAAUGGCCUACCAAGCCGAUGAUCCAUAGCUGGUUUGAGAGGAUGAUCAGCCACACUGGGACUGAGACACGGCCCAGACUCC